rnacentral:rRNA from 1 species
CGUCUGCCUGGGUGUCACGC